rnacentral:rRNA from 1 species
GGGCCCGCACAAGCGGUGGAGCAUGUGGUUUAAUUCGAUGAUACGCGAGGAACCUUACCAGGGCUUAAAUGUAGUAUGACCGGUCUAGAAAUAGGCCUUCCCUUCGGGGCAGAUUACAAGGUGCUGCAUGGUUGUCGUCAGCUCGUGCCGUGAGGUGUUAGGUUAAGUCCUGCAACGAGCGCAACCCCUAUUCUUAGUUGCCAGCGGUUCGGCCGGGGACUCUAAGAAGACUGCCAGCGCAAGCUGAGAGGAAGGUGGGGAUGACGUCAAAUCAUCACGGCCCUUACGUCCUGGGCUACACACGUGCUACAAUGGCCGGUACAGAGAGCAGCCACCACGCGAGUGGGAGCGAA